GGGGACUACCGGGGUUUCUAAUCCUGUUUGCUCCCCACGCUUUCGUGCAUGAGCGUCAAUAUUAUCCCAGGGGGCUGCCUUCGCCAUUGGUAUUCCUCCACAUCUCUACGCAUUUCACUGCUACACGUGGAAUUCUACCCCCCUCUGACAUAUUCUAGUCUUGUAGUUUCAAACGCAGUUCCUAAGUUGAGCUCAGGGAUUUCACAUCUGACUUACAAAACAGCCUGCGCACGCUUUACGCCCAGUAAUUCCGAGUAACGCUUGCACCCUUCGUAUUACCGCGGCGGCUGGCACG
rnacentral:misc_RNA from 1 species